rnacentral:rRNA from 1 species
UGGCUCAGAUUGAACGCUGGCGGCAUGCCUUACACAUGCAAGUCGAACGGCAGCGGCGGGGCAACCGUGGCGGCGAGUGGCGAACGGGUGAGUAACAUAUCGGAACACUACCCUAGAAGUGGGGGAUAACGUAGCGAAAGUUACGCUAAUACCGCAUACGCACUAAGGUGGAAAGUGGGGGAUCUUCGGACCUCAUGCUCAUGGAGUGGCCGAUAUCUGAUUAGCUAGUUGGUGAGGUAAAGGCUCACCAAGGCGACGAUCAGUAGCUGGUUUGAGAGAACGACCAGCCACACUGGAACUGAGACACGGUCCAGACUCCUACGGGGAGGCAGCAGGUGGGGUAAUUUUUGGACAAUGGGGCAACCCUGAUCCAGCAAUGCCGCGUGAGUGAAGAAGGCCUUCGGGUUGUAAAGCUCUUUUGUCAGGGAAGAAACGGUGAGUUCUAAUAAAGCUUGCUAAUGACGGUACCUGAAGAAUAAGCACCGGCUAACUACGUG